AUCGAUGAAGAACGCAGCGAAAUGCGAUAAGUAAUGUGAAUUGCAGAAUUCAGUGAAUCAUCGAAUCUUUGAACGCACAUUGCGCCCCCUGGCAUUNCGGGGGGCAUGCCUGUUCGAGCGUCAUUACACCAAUCACGCCUGGCGUGGUAUUGGGCGACGGGGUCAACCCCCGCGCCUCAAAUGUUCCGGCGAGACCGACCGAAUCUCAGCGUUGUGCAAACGAGUCGCUGGCGAGACGAGAGGGCUGUGCCGUUAAACACCCCCAUCACAGGUUGACCUCGGAUCAGGUAGGGAUACCCGCUGAACUUAAGCAUAUCAAUAAGCGGAGGAAAAGAAACCAACAGGGAUUGCCCUAGUAACGGCGAGUGAAGCGGCAACAGCUCAAAUUUGAAAUCUGGCGCAAGCCCGAGUUGUAAUUUGCAGAGGAUGCUUCGAGGCACCGGCCGGUCUAAGUUCCUUGGAACAGGACGUCAUAGAGGGUGAGAAUCCCGUAUGUGACCGGCUAGGACUUCACACGUAGCUCCUUCGACGAGUCGAGUUGUUUGGGAAUGCAGCUCUAAAUGGGAGGUAAAUUUCUUCUAAAGCUAAAUACCGGCCAGAGACCGAUAGCGCACAAGUAGAGUGAUCGAAAGAUGAAAAGCACUUUGGAAAGAGAGUUAAAAAGCACGUGAAAUUGUUGAAAGGGAAGCGCUUGCAACCAGACUUGUCGGCGGUGUUCCGCCGGGCUUCUGCCCGGUUCACUCGCCGUCGACAGGCCAACAUCAUCUGGGGUCGCCGGAUAAAGGUUCGAGGAAUGUAGCUCCCCUCGGGGAGUGUUAUAGCCUCUUGCACAAUACGGCGCGCCCCGGGUGAGGUCCGCGCUUCGGCAAGGAUGUUGGCGUAAUGGUCGUAANCGGCCCGUCUUGAAACACGG
rnacentral:rRNA from 1 species